CCAACAGCAACCAUGAGCUUCAUCACCAUCUUCAUCUGGAUCUUCACUAGCUACUGCUUCACAGAAUCAGCAGCUGAAGUGACAGUCACUCAGACACCUGCAGUCAAACCUGUUCAACCAGGAGACACAGUUACCAUGUCCUGUAAAACCAGCCCUGAAGUUUACCAGGGUUGGAGUUAUGAGCCUCUAGCCUGGUACUUACAGAAACCUGGAGAAGCUCCUAAACUCCUGAUUUAUUGGGCAAACACCCUCCAGUCAGGAACUCCAUCUAGAUUCAGUGGCAGUGGAUCUAACAGUGAUUUCACUCUGACCAUCAGUGGAGUCCAGACUGAAGAUGCUGGACAUUAUUACUGUCAGAGUGUACAUGUCAUCAACAGUAAUUAUGUGUUCAGACAGUGAUAAAGAGUGGUACAAAAACCUCCAUCAGUCAGAGUCACAGUGAUGAACUGAUGCUGCAGCUGCUCAAACACUAUCACACACUACUGACACACAGAGACCAAACACAGAACUACACAUGAGCUCAAAACUGAGUUAGGAGUCAAAUCAGCUCUAUUAGACUGUGAUCUGUCCUGUGACAGACGGGUUUGACUCAAUUAUGCU